rnacentral:misc_RNA from 1 species
CGCGAACCGAUCCCGCAACGGCAGGAUUUCCAGAAGCGCAGGAAGUCGUCCUUGAUACCAAAGACGGCGAGAAGGUGAUCGUCUGGCACGUGCCGCCGAAAGACGGGAAGCCUGUGGUGCUGUUCUUCCAACGGGGAGGUGCUGGCGUGGCGGGUGCCGCGGUUUCGCGCCAUCACCGUCGACGGCACCGGUCUUGUCGCGCUGUCGUUUCGCGGUUACGGCGGCUCCAGCGGCAAGCCGACCGAAGACGG